UACGAAGGGGGCUAGCGUUGCUCGGAAUCACUGGGCGUAAAGCGCACGUAGGCGGCUUUUUAAGUCAGGGGUGAAAUCCUGGAGCUCAACUCCAGAACUGCCUUUUGAUACUGAGAAGCUUGAGUCCGGGAGAGGUGAGUGGAACUGCGAGUGUAGAGGUGAAAUUCGUAGAUAUUCGCAAGAACACCAGUGGCGAAGGCGGCUCACUGGCCCGGUAUGACGCUGAGGUGCGAAAGCGUGGGGAGCAAACAGG
rnacentral:rRNA from 1 species